UACGUAGGGGGCAAGCGUUGUCCGGAAUCAUUGGGCGUAAAGAGCUCGUAGGCGGCUUGUCGCGUCGGCUGUGAAAACCUGGGGCUCAACCCCGGGCCUGCAGCCGAUACGGGCAAGCUAGAAUUCGGUAGGGGAGACUGGAAUUCCUGGUGUAGCGGUGAAAUGCGCAGAUAUCAGGAGGAACACCGGUGGCGAAGGCGGGUCUCGGGACCGCCACUGACGCUGAGACACGAAAGCGUGGGUAGCAAACAGG
rnacentral:rRNA from 1 species